rnacentral:rRNA from 1 species
GACGAACGCUGGCGGCGUGCUUAACACAUGCCAGUCGUACGGUAAGGCCCUUUCGGGGGUACACGAGUGGCGAACGGGUGAGUAACACGUGAGUAACCUGCCCACAACUUUGGGAUAACGCUAGGAAACUGGUGCUAAUACUGGAUAUGUGCUCCUGCUGCAUGGUGGGGGUUGGAAAGCUCCGGCGGUUGUGGAUGGACUCGCGGCCUAUCAGCUUGUUGGUGGGGUAGUGGCCUACCAAGGCGGCGACGGGUAGCCGGCCUGAGAGGGUGACCGGCCACAUUGGGACUGAGAGACGGCCCAGACUCCUACGGGAGGCAGCAGUGGGGAAUAUUGCACAAGGGGCGCAAGCCUGAUGCAGCAACGCCGCGGGCGGGAGGACGGCCUUCGGGUUGUAAACCGCUUUCAGCAGGGACGAAGCUUUUUGUGACGGUACCUGCAGAAGAAGCACCGGCUAACUACGUG